rnacentral:rRNA from 1 species
GAUCCUGGCUCAGGAUGAACGCUGGCGGCGUGCCUAACACAUGCAAGUCGAACGGACCUAUAUUAACAGAGACUCGGUGAAGUGGUUUAGGUUAGUGGCGGACGGGUGAGUAACGCGUGGAGAACCUGCCCUGUACUGGGGGAUAACAGUGAGAAAUCACUGCUAAUACCGCAUAAGCGCACGAAACCGCAUGGUUUUGUGUGAAAAACUCCGGUGGUACAGGAUGGCUCCGCGUUGGAUUAGCCUGUUGGCGGGGUAACGGCCCACCAAAGCUACGAUCCAUAGCCGGCCUGAGAGGGUGGACGGCCACAUUGGGACUGAGACACGGCCCAGACUCCUACGGGAGGCAGCAGUGGGGAAUAUUGCACAAUGGGGGAAACCCUGAUGCCAGCGACGCCGCGUGAAGGAAGAAGUAUCUCGGUAUGUAAACUUCUAUCAGCAGGGAAGAAAAUGACGGUACCUGACUAAGAAGCCCCGGCUAACUACGUGCCAGCAGCUGC